GUCUGGAGCUGUCCUGCCUGGCAGUUAGUGAUGACAGUAGAGCGUAAACCUUUGGAGGAACCUGUCACAGGAAAGAGCUCCUUCUGGAACUGUUCAGCACUCGGGAGGCAACUGGGUGACUGGCUUGAUCUACUUCUGAGGUGCUGAGGCAAGGAGGCUGCUGUUUUGAAACGAUAGUAUUCUGAAACACAGUGUACGACACGGGACUUGACGACCAGAGCUGCUUUUGGCAAGGUGCCAUGGCAGGCUCUCUAGAGAAGUGGUUGAGGAUUGGAGAAGAGGUUGCAGAUGAUCAAGGAGCGACACGUGCAGGGAUGGCUUGAAAAGGGUAUGGCUGCUUUUCUCUUCUGUUUAUCAGGUGUCCCAGGCAAUGUGGGCUGUGGU